GCAUAUUUUCAACCCCAUUUCUCUCUCUCUUUUCUCAAUGAAAUACGUUUUUCCCUUUACAAAACCAUAAUCAUCCCUGUCGCCUCUCUUCUCUCCCUGAUCCUCUCUCUUUUUUACCCGUCAUUAUUCUCCCAUGUUGUAGGUGUCGAUUGAUUUCAUUCUUUGUACAGGUGAGAGAGGAAAUCCUGUUUUCUACUUUGGUGGAAAAGAACACCAGAUUGAUAAAGAUAUCAAAAACAUUAAUUGUACAAGAAGAAAUUGAUAAGAUUCAAUCUGAGACAUAAUCGAGGGGCGUUAUGUGAAAUAAGUUUAAGUGUGUACCAUGAGGCUAUGGAAAGACUGCAGUUGAUGCAACAUGCAAGCAGCGAAGCAAGAGCACUAGCAGUCUUCCAUUACCCAUUGGCAUUUUAUUUAUUUUGGUCAUGUUCUGCAUUUGUAUAUGACUAUGUGGGUUGUCUUUGUACUUCAUUUUUAUGUGUGAGACUGAGAGACUGAAUUGAACUCUAUUUUAGAACAUUUUGAACGUGUACGAAGACAGAA